rnacentral:misc_RNA from 1 species
AUAUCUGCCAGGUUUUUAUAUCAUAUGGAAGGAAAUCUAAUGGAGAACUUUUGCUUUCAUAUGGAUUUGUUCCUAAAGAAGGGACCAAUCCAAGCGACUCAGUUGAGGUGUCAUUGGCACUUAAGAAAUCUGACAAAUGUUACAAAGAGAAGGUGGAAGCUCUAAAGAAGCAUGGAUUAUCAGCAUCAGAAUGUUUUCCAGUACAAGUUACUGGUUGGCCACUGGAGUUGAUGGCUUUUGCUUAUCUAGUGGUCAGUCCACCUAGCAUGAGCAGACAGUUUGAAGAG